GUGCUUGCUGUGGCAGCACAAAUACUAAAAUUGGAACAAUACAGCAAGAUUAGCAUGGCCUCUGCACAGGGGGACACACAAAAAGCUACUUAGUACAGGGGU